AAGCUGCGAUACGUAAUGUGAAUUGCAGAAUUCAGUGAAUCAUCGAAUCUUUGAACGCAAAUUGCGCCAAUGGUCUCCCGUUGGCAUGCCUGUCUGAGUGUCAUUUUCACACCAUCUCGUUCAUUUCCUUUUUUCAAAAGAGAAAAGAGCGGCCGUGAGGCGGUCCCGGACCCUCUGGUAGUCCGCGUCCCUUCAAAUGACGUAGGCGUGGGCGCAGUGACGAGCAAAAAAAAGUGUCACACCUGCGAUUUUUGGCCUCUGGGGCUGCACAUGUUGGAGCGUAAAAACCUCUGGCGUGUGUGUUUCCUUAUUCUCAAGAAUCGUCGGCGCUUCUUUUUCUCCCAAUUGUGGCCUGCAGCUUUACCCCAUAUAAUACAUUUCUCAUGACCUCAGAUCAGAC
rnacentral:misc_RNA from 1 species